CUUUAUUAGAGGUGACACCUGCCCAAUGCUUGAACUUAACCCUGCCACCUUAAGGGUAACCCCAAGUCAAUGGCCGCGGUAUUUCUGACCGUGAUAAUGUAGCGAAAUCAAUCGUCACUUAAUUGCUGACCGGUAUGAAUGGUAGCACGAAUAUUCCCCUGUCUCUAGAAAAGAUCCCGUGAAAUUGAAGAGGCUGUGCAUAUACAGCCUAUUUUUUGUAAGACGAAAAGACCCUAUUGAGCUUUACUACAAGUUCCUCUUUUCUUAAAAGUCCACCUAAAUCAGGAUCACUUUUUAUUAGGGGAACCCGAUAGUUUCGUUGGGGCGACGGCCUCCUAAAAAGUAACGGAGGCUAGCCAUGACUUAAGUUUAAUGUAUUUAGUUUGACUGCUAGGGCUAUAUCCCGCGCAGACACAUUCGUGGGCCAUAAAUUUCCAUCAUUUUUUGUGAUGCCAAAACAUAAAAGUUACCAUAGGGAUAACAGCGUAAUUUUACCGAAGAGUUCUUAUCGAUGGUAAAGAUUGCGACCUCGAUGUUGAAUUGUGGUAUCCUGAGGGUGCAGCCGCUCUC
rnacentral:rRNA from 1 species